UCCCUGGUGGCUCAGAGGUUAAGGCGCCUGCCUGGAAUGCGGGAGACCUGGGUUUGAUCCCUGGGUCGGGAA
rfam:Ovis aries breed Texel chromosome 7, whole genome shotgun sequence.